AUAGCAUCCAGCCUCAAGAUCAACACCUUUACAUCGGGAGAAACUUUCAGCUUUGUGACCUACUCUCCAUUCGCGACCAUGGGAUACAACAAGACCAGACCAUCGAGCUUCGCGCUGGUGGCUUGCUGGGCGGUGGAUUAGGCACUGCAGGAACCUCUUUCGACGUUAAACAGUGUGCAGGAGAACUGGCAGCGCAUUACCUAGAGACGAUGAAAGUGACCACAC